rnacentral:misc_RNA from 1 species
AAUGUAUUUAUCAAGAGGAAGCCAACUUUUGGAUCCCGUGACGAUUACAGUCUCGUCAGAAUUUCGGCACUUAUAAUCACUGAUUAUAAGGAGUGCAAUACGCUUCUCGAUCCCUUUUACGUGGACGGCUUUCGCUAUGCUCUCAUUUUUACGUGAUUGACAGACAUUAUUUUCGAUCUGAUGGUGCUCUUUACGUAAAAGCGUACAAUUGGAAAAUAAAUAAGAAGAAUGUGAUAUAACGACAUUGUAUCUAAUAUCUGGAACGUAAUAGCAUUUGAUUCUUAAAAGAAGGCGUCACGAUCGAUGUUCAUUUAUUUUUCUCCUCCGGGUCAGAGUUACCCAAACUAUCAACCGUCGGAAUCUAAGCUAAGUGUCAAAAGGAGAAUCGAAUCCUAAAAUAACACGUAGUUGGUAAAAGAAUAUUUGCAGAAGGGUGCUGGGAGUCCAAAACCGAUGCUCUUUUGUUUUUUGUCCCGGGUCGCAGUUCCUCGGGGUUUAUUGAUCCCAGUUGUAAACACACCAUGGCAGGAGUCGGAGGGGAAGGACCUCUCUUCCUCGCCCUUUCCUCCUCGUUCCUCCUUCAAAGUGUGAAUGGCAAGCCCUCGACGGGGACGGAUCUCGAAAUAGACGAGAAGUACCAGAACACGCAUAGGAUUGACAGCUUGAAUAUCCUAUUAUACACCUUUUUACUGAUCCUAACUGUGGUGACGAUAUGGAUCUUCAAAUACCGAAGGGCGAGGUAUUUGCACGAGACUGGCCUGGCUGUCAUAUACGGUUUGAUAGUUGGAGCCAUCUUGAGGUACAGCGGGGACAACACCCCUGUCAGCCACAUGGUGGUUGACCCCAAAGAGCCACAGACCUACCAUGGGGAUGCUCCCCCAGAUACCCUCUGGUUGAAGUACGGAGGUAAUAUAAAUGCCAGCCAGAACAGAACAUAUGCAUAUUCAUUCAGGGGAGAGAUUCCUGAAAGCCUAGAAGAUGAGAUUGUUCAGAAGGCAACUUUUGAUCCUGAAAUCUUCUUUAACAUCUUGCUGCCUCCCAUUAUCUUCAGUGCUGGCUACAGUCUCAAGAGGAGACAUUUCUUCAAGAACCUGGGUGCCAUUUUCACAUUUGCCUUUCUGGGGACAACCAUAUCAACUUUUGUAGUUGGCGGCUUAGUGUAUGGCUUCUUAUGGCUGUUGAGCUCAAGCUUCUCAUUCAUCGACUGCCUUUUAUUCGGCGCUCUCAUCUCCGCCACUGACCCAGUCACUGUGUUGGCCAUCUUCUCGGACCUCCACGUGGAUGUCAAUCUCUAUGCCCUAGUGUUCGGAGAGUCGGUUCUCAACGAUGCAGUUGCCAUUGUCUUGUCUAGUGCCAUUGAAAGUUAUGGCAGUGCCAGCGGAGGCUUUGAGACGUCAGCCUUCUUCCUGGCCAUCCUCAAUUUCCUGUGGAUCUUCAGCAUGUCAUUCCUCAUCGGCUCAGUCAUGGGCUGCCUCACCGCCAUCCUCACCAAGUUCACACGCCUCAAGGACUUCCCGCUGCUGGAGACGGCGCUCUUUGUCCUCAUGUCGUACUCUACCUUCCUCAUGGCAGAGGCAGCGGACUUGACAGGUAUUGUGGCUGUGCUCUUCUGUGGAAUCUGCCAAGCCCACUACACCUACAACAACCUCUCUGCGGAGAGUCGCGUUGCUACCAAGACACUGUUCGAACUCCUCAAUUUCCUCUCAGAAAACUUUAUCUUCUCAUACAUCGGGGUUUCUAUGUUCACCUUUGACCACCACAAGUGGGAUGUGGGAUUCAUCUCCAUUGCCUUUGUAGCCAUCAUCGCAGGGCGCUUCAUGUGCGUCUACCCUCUUUCCUUCCUGCUGAACCUCGGUCGGACUCCGAAGAUCCCCAUCAACUUCAUGAACAUGUUGUUCUUCUCGGGUCUCAGAGGAGCAAUAGCCUUUGCACUUGCCAUUCGCAACACCAGCAGCACUGCACGGAAGGCCAUCCUAACCACGACGUCGCUGAUAGUCAUAGUAACUGUUAUAUUAUGCGGCGGCCUCACCACCCAGGUCCUCUCAUGGCUUGGGAUACCGGUUGAUGUGGAGGAUGAUGAGACCCACCACCUAAACACAUCGUUCCAGCCAAUCAGAAAUGAUUACAAAAGCAUUGACGAAGGCAGGGGGCCUGGGGCGGAGGAUGGGGGAGAAGGCCCUGUCGAGGGGACCAGCAGCAGCUCAAGCAAGUAUGAGAAGGCCUGGCUCUUCCGCAUCUGGUCGCAGUUUGACGUGAGGUUCAUGAAGCCAUUCCUGACCAACAGUCGCCCCACUCUGCUAGACACAACACCCCUCUGCUGCGCCCCCUUAGCGAGGCUCCUGACCACAACCGAACAGCUGACGCAGGAUCGCGACCCUCUUAAUGAUGACCUUCCAAUAGACGACUCUAUCAUCAGUGUCGGGGGAAUUCACACCUCCAUAGACUCUAGUCGGCAGGAACGAGAUUCUGGGGAUAACCGUAGCCAACUCAGUAUUGACGCCCAGAAUUUCAUGUAACUAACAACCCCCUGUUCACCAACCAUCACCACAACCACUACUAACUACUACUACUACUACUACUACUACUACUACUACCACCUCCAUGGAACAGCUAACUCCUGAACAACCAGACUGAAUAUAACCAACCCAUUAUACGACGGUGACCUGGGCUUGGGCUCGUCCAGUAGCGUGCCCACCCGGGUGUCCGUGGCUGGUUCCCGGGGCCAAGACCUGUAGAGAUGGCGAAUGGCUGCGUCCAACGUCUUGUGUGUUAAUUGACGAUGUGUUUGUAUAGUGAAAAGUGACAAGUGACAUGAGAUUGGAGGAAGUCACGUUUGGCAAAGUGUCGUGUUCUCCAUUAAUGCUUUUUUUUAUAUAUAUAUCUAUAUGUGUAUGUGGGCUUGAAAGUGUUUAAGAGCCAGAUUAGCUUCUGUGUUUCAGAGGGUUUUAUUUAUUACACUUUAUUUUUUGCUGUCGUAAAUGUUGGAGAAAUUUGAGACACGAUAUUGUCUUUUAUGGAAUGCUUUUUUUUUAUUAUUUUUUUUAUAUUAGAUUUUGUUUCCUUCUGACUGUCUUCAUAUUAGAAUUACAUUGUUGAGAUUGCAGUGUAGGAACUUCUAGUGACAGUACUCUCCAUACUGUGUACAUAUUAAAGACAAACUCUGUGAAAGAUGUGAUUGCCUGUAUUUGUCUGGCAGAAGUUUGCAAGAAAGAGUGUAUACUAUAUUUCAGAGUGCCAAUAACCAGAUGACAUAUGCCAGAUUGAGAUAAAGGGCAAAGGAAAGUAAUUUUCCCCCUUUUUACUUUUAUUUCUCUUUUUACAUUUUUAAUAUCAUUAUUAUUAGUAUUGCUGUCAUUAUUGUUAUUGUUAUUGUUAUUAUCAUUUUAUUAUUAUUAUUAUUCAUCAUUUAUA